AAAAUAAAUUUUCGCAAAAAAUGGGACUUUGUUUUCGAAACGAUUUCUCCAGUUUGCUAGAAGUCCUAUCCAGAUGCCAAUGAGUCACUGAUUUCAAAUCUUUUUGUUUAGAGAUUUUGACGCCGGUACGUCUGGUUUUGCUUCUGUGGGUACAGCAUGUUGGGAAACAAAGAAUUCAGGGUUCAUCACUUUUAUAAACUAUGCCAGGCCCCGAGACCUAAAUGAUACAGUAGUAACACUUGCACACGAGUUUGGACAUAGUUUGGGCUCAAAACACGACGAGGAGUAUGAGGAUGAGGAUUGCGACGACAACUUUAUAAUGUCGUCUUUUCUCAACCAAACUACGCCAGACGAGUUUAGUAACUGUAGUAUCAGAGCAAUACAGGAGAAGUUGACUGAGGUUUUGAACUCUGAAAGGAAUUGUAUCCAGGAACCCAGGAAUACAGAGGUGGAGAUUGCUGUCUGUGGAAAUGGAAUAUUGGAGCCUGGAGAACAAUGUGACUGUGGAUAUGACGAGAUUUCUUGCAAUGAUCCAUGUUGUUAUCCUGCUUCGAUCAGUCAGGCAGACAGAGAUUAUAAUACUACUGGAGCACUCCCUUGUUCAACUAACCAAAGGAAAAGAUGUGUUAAUCCCCCCGGAUUAGUCUACGGAAUUUAUAUUCCUCUUGUUUUCAUCCUCAUCGCGUCCAUCCUAGUCAUUGUUCUACUCAAGAACGAUUGGUCAAGAGAUAAAACAUUGUUCAGGCAUAUAACUCAUGGUAAUAUCAAGAUAGUUGCCAGAAAGCGUCAAGGUGUUAAUAGUCUUCAGUCUUCUGAACAGGAGGCAGGUCUCUCAUCCUAGAUAUCCUGAACAGGAGGCAGGUUGACUCCUAGUAGAAUCUGAACAGGAGGCAGGUCUUCUGUAGAAUCUGAACCGGAGGCAGAUAUAUCAUCCUAGAUAUCCUGAACAGGAGGCAGGUCUUUUAAUAGAAUCUGAACAGGAGGCAGGUCUCUCAUCCUAGAUAUCCUGAAUAGGAGGGAGGUCUCCUAAUAGAAUCUGAACAGGAGGCAGGUCUCUUAGUAGAAUCUGAACAGGAGGCAGGUCUUUCAGUAGAAUCUGAACAGGAUGCAGGUCUCCUAGUAGAAUCUGAACAGAAGGCAGGUCCCUAGUAGAAUCUGAACAGGAGGCAGAUCUCCUAGUAGAAUCUGAACAGGAGGCAGGUCUCUCAUCCUAGACUACUAAACUGAAGGCAGGUCUCUUUGUAGAAUCUGAACAGGAGGCAGGUAUCCUAGUAGAAUCUGAACAGGAGGCAGGUCUCCUAGUAGAAUCUGAACAGGAGGCAGGUCUGUCAUCCUAGAUAACCUGAUAAGGAGGCAGGUCUACUAGUAGAAUCUGAACAGGAUAUGAGAAAUGUCACACAAAAAACAGGAUUAAACUAAGAACUAAGAAUGAAAGCUGAAAGAAAACAUAUGAACAAGGAAAGUACACGAGGAAACAGAAUGGAAUGAGAAAACAUAAAGACAGAGUGUGCAUGGGUAUUGUUGUGAAUCGAACGUGGCAUUUACGAGAAAAUACAAUACAUGGGUCUUUAAAUCAGAGAAGAAGAGAGAAAAAUCCUGAUGAAAAUAAAAAAAAACGAUUCAUAAAGUGAAAAAAAAAUAAAAAAUAACCUUUGAAAUAUUGUGAUAUUGUAUAUUAGUAUUUUGAAAACUUUAAUCUUUCUACACAAUUAUAUAAAUUGUAAUUGAAGAUAUUCAAACAAUUCUUUGAAGUUAGAAAACUGAAUAUAUAAAAAGUGAAAAGUGAUAUUUGUGUACUCUAUCAAAAGAAAUAAAAUAAUAUAGUGUAAUUUAGUUUUUUGUUAACCUUGAAUAAUUCGCCUACCCUACAGGGUGUCCCAGGGUAAAAUUCGCCUACAGGGUGUCCCAGGGUGCAAUGCGCCUACAGGGUGUCCCAGGGUACAAUUCGCCUAGAGGGUGUCCCAGGGUAACAGCGUGUUCCAGGGUGCAAAUUGCAAUUCGCGUACAAUUCAAAAUUAGAUAAAAUUUAUUUCAUAUUAUUGUGCGAAACUAGAGAAUAUUGAAUAAAAUUAACAAUAAAAAGUU